UACGAAGGGGGCUAGCGUUGCUCGGAAUCACUGGGCGUAAAGCGCACGUAGGCGGAUUGUUAAGUCAGGGGUGAAAUCCUGGAGCUCAACUCCAGAACUGCCUUUGAUACUGGCGAUCUCGAGUCCGGAGAGGUGAGUGGAACUGCGAGUGUAGAGGUGAAAUUCGUAGAUAUUCGCAAGAACACCAGUGGCGAAGGCGGCUCACUGGCCCGGUACUGACGCUGAGGUGCGAAAGCGUGGGAGCAACAGGAU
rnacentral:rRNA from 1 species